rnacentral:rRNA from 3 species
UGAGGAAUAUUGCACAAUGGGGGAAACCCUGAUGCAGCGACGCCGCGUGAACGAAGAAGGUAUUCGUAUCGUAAAGUUCUGUCCUAUGGGAAGAUAAUGACAGUACCAUAGAAGAAAGCUCCGGCUAAAUACGUGCCAGCAGCCGCGGUAAUACGUAUGGAGCGAGCGUUGUCCGGAAUUAUUGGGCGUAAAGGGUACGCAGGCGGUUUAAUAAGUCGAAUGUUAAAGAUCGGGGCUCAACCCCGUAAAGCAUUGGAAACUGAUAAACUUGAGUAGUGGAGAGGAAAGUGGAAUUCCUAGUGUAGUGGUGAAAUACGUAGAUAUUAGGAGGAAUACCAGUAGCGAAGGCGACUUUCUGGACACAAACUGACGCUGAGGUACGAAAGCGUGGGGAGCAAACAGG